ensembl:lncRNA
AUGGUUUGGACAAUAAAUAAAUGUUAUGAAAACAAUAGGUUUGAAAAGCUCAAUGCAAGCAGAAGUGCGCCAACUGUUUUGAUCAGGUGUCCGCGGCAGCGACACCGAACACACCUCCUUCCACAACCGAAAGAGAAAGUUGGAAGUCAAAAUAGUGAAGCGAUCUCAAACGACCUUUCACAUCGAUCCGCAGCAUUACAGCACUGCAGACAUCAGGGACUGGUACAACUAAAAAUUAUGGAUGCAAGCAGAGAUGACAUGGAGGAAGAGGAGGAGAGUGACGAGUUUCUGCUGCUUGAAGAAUACUGCGCUCGGCAGGAGAAGCUCAGGUUACGUCGUUCUGGCGUUGGCGUAGGCAAACCAUACCUACAAUCUGGCUGGCAUUCAAAAGGCACAGGCUUGAAACGAUCAUCAAUUUCAUCAGACUCAGUGCCGAUUGCAGAAGGUGAUUUGACUGUUGAUGACUCUAGUUCAGAGCCCCAACAAGAUUUGGUGGAGAAACUCGUGGUGUUGUUGAAAAAAGAAGGAGACGACAUGAAUCAGAAGAUCCAGCAGAACGAGGUGCUGCAGCAGCAGCUCCAGGGAGCCUUCAGCUACUCCCUGUUUCAGAGGUUGGUGGCCGCACUGCAGGGGGCCCGCCCUGUGGGCUCAGCGGCCCCGGGCGGGCCCCCUGCCCCCCCGGCCCCCCCGCCCCCCCCGCCCCCCCCGCCCCCCCCCGGCCCCCCCGGCCCCCCCGGCCUCUGA